GGGUCUAUAGCUUAGGGGUAGAGCAUUUGACUGCAGAUCAAGAAGAGGUCAUCGGUUCAAACCUGGUUGGGCCCU